rnacentral:misc_RNA from 1 species
GAUGAAGAACGUAGUGAAAUGCGAUAAGUAAUGUGAAUUGCAGAAUUCAGUGAAUCAUCGAAUCUUUGAACGCACAUUGCGCCCGCUAGUAUUCUGGCGGGCAUGCCUGUCCGAGCGUCUCAGGGACGAACCCUCGCGCGGGUGUACGCGCGGUCGUGGCUGCGGUGGCGUGCCCGAGGCGGCGGCCACCGCGCUGGAAUCCAUGGGCGGACGCCUGCCGCGUGGCCGAGCGUGAUAUGACGCAUUGGCGCUCGCACGCGGAGAGGCUGCCAGCCCUGGCCCGUCUGUCGGGCGGGGGAGAGCAAGACACGUGAACUCCUCGAAUCAGGUAGGGAUACCCGCUGAACUUAAGCAUAUCAAUAAGCGGAGGA